GCUUAUGCCCGCGACUUCGUCCGCCGUAGACUACACAAAGUUCAAACCGCUAUUUUACCCUCACAGGGGUUGAGUUUCGAAAAAUCCUUUUAUAGCGAAUGUCUAAGUCAUAAUAGCUACCUGCAUGCCAAAUUGCAGGCCGGUCCGUCCAGUAAUUUAAGCUGUGCGUUGAUAGAUCAAUCAGGCAGUCACCUUUUCCUUAUAUGCCU